rnacentral:rRNA from 1 species
UACGUAGGGUGCGAGCGUUGUCCGGAAUUAUUGGGCGUAAAGAGCUCGUAGGCGGCCUUCUAAGUCGAACGUGAAAUCCCCGGGCUCAACCCGGGAACUGCGUCCGAUACUGGGAGGCUUGAAUCCGGGAGAGGGAUGUGGAAUUCCAGGUGUAGCGGUGAAAUGCGUAGAUAUCUGGAGGAACACCGGUGGCGAAGGCGGCAUCCUGGACCGGUAUUGACGCUGAGGCGCGACAGCGUGGGGAGCAAACAGG